CCCCGUCAAUUCCUUAAGUUUCACCGUUGCCGGCGUACUCCCCAGGUGGAAUACUUAACGCUUUCGCUUGGCCGCUUGCUGUAUAUCGCAAACAGCGAGUAUUCAUCGUUUACCGUGUGGACUACCAGGGUAUCUAAUCCUGUUUGAUACCCACACUUUCGAGCAUCAAUGUCAGUCACAGUUUAGUAAGCUGCCUUCGCAAUCGGGGUUCUUCGUGAUAUCUAAGCAUUUCACCGCUACACCACGAAUUCCGCCUACCUCAACUGUACUCAAGACUGCCAGUAUCAAUCGCAAUUUUACGGUUGAGCCGCAAACUUUCACAACUGACUUAACAACCCAUCUACGCUCCCUUUAAACCCAAUAAAUCCGGAUAACGCUCGGAUCCUCCGUAUUACCGCGG
rnacentral:misc_RNA from 1 species